AGCUCCGUGAUUGAUGACCCACCCGCCCGGGAAGGGGCGGUCGCUGUCGCCCAGGCUGGAGGGGGGAGCCCGGAGACCAGGUGCGACACAGCCCCGCCGCACCCACCGGUCGCGACGGCUUAAAAACACCGCGGCCGGACGGGACGGGACGGGACGAAGGCGCCGGAACCUCGGCAGCGGGUGGGAGCGGCCCAGGAUUUUAUUUCAUAUAGAUGUGAAGCUCCUAAACCAGAAACUCCUAUUUCUAAGGGCACCCAAGGAGAUGAGGUUUUUAGCCAGGCUGUCACAGGAACAGAUACUCCUAACACGUGAAAACCAGGAUCUGGGACACCCACGAGGGCUGCUUGGCUGAGGACAACAGGAUCAGGACCCUCCCUGCCGGGGAUGGACUGUGGACACUUAGCAGAGAGCAGCGAGGAGAUCUCCAGCCCGGGGGCAGAGCCCGAUUCCUCUGCCGG
rnacentral:lncRNA from 1 species